AUUGUUUUUGAACAGGGCUUCCUCAGUCUCGGACUGAAGACUUCGGGCAGUGGGCCGAGGCGGAGGUGUAGACACACUCCAGGCUACGAUUUGCCCCUUACUCUUCUAAAACUGCUGGAAGGAAUGUCUCUAGCUCACACUGCAGGCCAUCUUUUGCUGAUACUGCAGCUGAUAGAACCCAGGAAGACUCUGGGCAAUGCCCACUCUCUGUGCCUUAACCUCACUGUCAAAUCUCAGUCCAGACCGGGCCAGCCCUGGUGUCAAGUCCAGGGCUCCGUGGACACAAAGCCUUUCUUCCAGUUUGACAGUGACAGCAACAAGGUCAGACCUUUGGGUUUCCUGGGGGAGGAGGUAAACGACACCAAAGCGUGGACUGAACUGAGCCAGAUGCUAGGAGAAGCAGGAAGAGACCUCAGGAUGGUCCUGCUUGUCAUCAAACUGGACAAAAAGGAGAUGAGGGCCUCAAUGGACAGACUGCCCUCCUCCUUGACAUCAUGAACAUAACCUGGACAGGCAUCGAUCCUUGAGCCACAGGCAUCGAGGAGGAGUGGGAAAACAACCAGGAACUGGCAGAGUAUUUCAGGAAGAUCUCAACGGGAGACUGCAGUUAUUGGCUUAGGGAAUCUCUGAAACACUGGGAGAACAUGCUGCUCCCAGAGCCCACAGAACCACUCACAAAGGCCCCGAACAACCACCAGCCUGCAUCUAUCCCAUUAAAUAAAUGCAUCCUCCCAUUGAUCUUCAUCUUCAUCAUCUUCAUCUGCCUAAUUGUCAUCAUCGUCAAGAAAUGUAUGAAGAAAUCAGGGACCACGGAAAGUGAGAAUCAGGCUGGCCUCUGGUUCCUGGGCAGGUUUGUUCUGGUCAGGACAUCAGAGAAGUGAGCCACGGGUCUCACCCAAACCCUUCUCUACUGGUACCUAGGAGGAUGCUCUUUCUUAGUCUUGGGCCCCCACACUUCCCGCUCUUCGUUCCAUCAUCUGAUGUUUCUUCCAUUGACCAUGAGCCCUUGGAUGAAGAAUCUGAUCCUUACUGACAGUCUGGCUGCCAGUCUAGUAUAUUCUCCUCUGCUCGGAGUUGUGUUUACCAAGAAGCUAGAGAACUCCUGACUUUCCGCAGCUGUUGAUGGGCCCUUCCUAUGUAUUGACUUAGUCAUUUUAAACAAUUUGCUAAAUAAGAUAUUUGCUCCUAAUCAGUUAAGGGUAUCAGCUUUACCUGAUGCUUUUCUAUCAGUUCCUUCCAUUUUAGGUGGAAUUGGAGUGUUUGUUGGCACUUUUAAAUUCCAUUAAGAGGAAAAUGAGUUAGGAAUAAAUAUAUGUGGUUUAAUGAGAUAUACUUUAUGUGUUCUCACUUUUAUGCACAGUUACUUCAUGCUUUUAUGGCCAGAAUUGUAUUCCCCUGAAUUCAUGUAUUAAAACCCUAAACCCCCAGGACCUCAGAAUAUGACCAUAUUUAAUGACAAGGCCUUUAUAGAAAUAAUAAGGUUAAAAUGAGGCCAUUAGGGUCUACCCCUAAUCCAAUCUGAUUGGUGUCCUUAUAAGAAAAUGGAACAAACCUGGUAUGUUACAUGGAGGGCCAUGUGAAGACAUGGGGAUGAGAUGUCCAUCUGCAAGCUGAGAGAGUCAAUUCCUAGGCAGGUUGAAAAGAAUUCCAGGGACCCUGAGGAGGAGAAAGGGGUCUGGCGCUCUCAAGGAGGAGAUAGGGGUCUGGAAUUCUCAAGGAGGAGGAAAGAACAAACUUUUUUUCUACAUCCCUUAAUAAGGACAGAGGAUGAGAUGGUCCGGGAGUUGGUGAUGGACAGGGCUAUCUGCUCACAGCUGCUCCAGUGCAUACCAUCUUACUGGGGUUUCUCUGACCUUGGAUGUGGGGUACCUCCACAUGGCCGGUCCAGCAAAGUGCAACCAAUGCUCCUGACCUUGGACGUGGAGUACCUAUUCACAGCUGCUUCAGUGCCAAGCAGCCGCGGCUCAACCAAGAUUGCUGGGAGAAAUAUCAAUAAUGUCAGAUAUGCAGAUGACACCACCCUUAUGGAAGAAAAUGAAGAAGAACUGAAGAGCCUCUUGAUGAAAGUGAAAGAGGAGAGUGAAAAUGUUGGCUUAAAGCUCAACAUUCAGAAAACUAAGAUCACAGCAUGUGGUCCCAUCAUUUCAUGGCAAAUAGAUGGAGAAACAGUGGAAACAGUGGCAGACUUUAUUUUGGGGGGCUCCAAAAUCACUGCAGAUGAUGACUGCAGCCAUAAAAUAAAAAGACGCUUACUCCUUGGAAGAAAAGUUAUGACCAACCUAGACAGCAUAUUAAAAAGCAGAGACAUUACUUUGCCAACAAAGGUCCGUCUAGUCAAGGCUAUGGUUUUUCCAGUGGUCAUGUAUGGAUGUGAGAGUUGGACUAUAAAGAAAGCUGAGCGCUGAAGAAUUGAUGCUCUUGAACUGUGGUGUUGGAGAAGACUCUUGAGAGUCCCUUGGACUGCAAGGAGAUCCAACCAAUCCAUCCUAAAGGAGAUCAGUCCUGAAUGUUCACUGGAAGGACUGAUACUGAGGCUGAAACUCCAAUACUUUGGCCACCUGAUGCGAAGAGUUGACUCAUUGGAAAAGACCCUGAUGCUGGGAAAGAUUGAGGGCAGGAGGAGAAGGGGACGACAGAGGAUGAGAUGGUUGGAUGGUAUCACCAACUCAAUGGACAUGAGUUUGAGUAAACUAUGGGAGUUGGUGAUGGACAGGGAGGCCUGGAGUGCUGCAGUCCACGGGGUCACAAAGAGUUGGACAUGACUGAGUGACUGAACUGACUGACUGACCAUUUAUUGAGAUUUGUGCACUCAACUGUAGGGGUGUCAUAUUUCAACAAUAAGUUAAUAUUGCAGUUUUCACUAUA